rnacentral:rRNA from 1 species
AACGAACGCUGGCGGCGCGCUUAACACAUGCAAGUCGCACGGUCCAGUAUUUUCAAUGAGUUGAUUGCGUAACAAUACUCAUGACUCUCAAAGAAAAUACUGGAUAGUGGCAAACGGGUGAGUAACACGUGGAUAAUCUGCCCCUGAGUGGGGGACAACUCUGCGAAAGCGGAGCUAAUACCGCCUAAGACUACAGAAUCGCAUGAUUCAGUAGUAAAAGGUUUUCGAUUCUCGGAGGUCGCUCAGGGAUGAGUCCGCGUCUGAUUAGCUAGUUGGUAGGGUAACGGCCUACCAAGGCAACGAUCAGUAGCCGGCCUGAAAGGGUGUUCGGCCACAUUGGAAUUGAGAUACGGUCCAGACUCCUACGGGAGGCAGCAGUGGGGAAUCUUGCGCAAUGGGGGAAACCCUGACGCAGUGACGCCGCGUGAACGAUGAAGUCCUUCGGGAUGUAAAGUUCUGUCAGGCGGGAAGAACUCCCGAGAAAUCGGGAAUGACGGUACCGCCAGAGGAAGCGCUGGCUAAUUCCGUGCCAGCAGCCGCGGUAACACGGAGAGUGCAAGCGUUGUUCGGAAUUACUAGGCGUAAAGGGCGUGUAGGUGGUUAGCUAAGUCAGAUGUGAAAAUUCCGAGCUCAACUCGGAACCUGCAUUUGAAACUGGUUAACUUGAGUGUAGGAGAGGAGAGCGGAAUUCCUAGUGUAGCGGUGAAAUGCGUAGAUAUUAGGAAGAACACCGGUGGCGAAGGCGGCUCUCUGGCCUAAAACUGACACUGAGACGCGAAAGCGUGGGGAGCGAACAGGAUUAGAUACCCUGGUAGUCCACGCCGUAAACGAUGGGCAUUAGGUGUAGGAGGUAUCCAAUCCUUCUGUGCCGAAGUUAACGCAUUAAAUGCCCCGCCUGGGGAGUACGACCGCAAGGUUGAAACUCAAAGGAAUUGACGGGGGCCC